GAACUUUCUGACAGCAUCACACGUAUUCCUCCAGCUGACAAAAUAUGAGAAAGUCUACGGGUUGAAGCCAAGGCAUGUUUGCUAGGGGCCAGUGAGGAUACUCAGUGCAGCAACCCUUCCCCAACACUGUGGAAAUAUAUUAAAACUUUAGUAACUCACAUGGUUGGACUGCAUCUUCUAGCUGAACAUCAGCUUACAAGUUCUCCAUUUGUUCUUUCAAUAAGAAGAUAUUCAUCUUUCUAACUCUGGAGAAAUUAUAGCAGUUAUUUGUUAAAUUUC